AAUAUGCCUGGAAAAAAGAAAGAAGUAGAAAAGAAGGAAGAAAAAAUCAUCAAAUUGGGCCC
rnacentral:ribozyme from 1 species